rnacentral:misc_RNA from 1 species
UUGUUUGUGUGCAGCUGUGCUGUGCACAGUACCCGAGGUACCUUCGCUUCCCGGUUGGUAGAGAUGACGACACCAAAUGUCAUGACAGCAACAUUGACAAGGAGUUCAACAUAGGCGACGUAUGGAGCUCCCCCUUCUCUGGCUGUAAACAGAGUCACUGCGUCAAGGAGGAGGGCGUUCUCUACAUUGACAGAUUCCAGUGUCCGCAGGUUAAAAAGCAGGUGGACUUUAAGAAGCUGCAGGCCGACAACCUGUUCUGCCGCGAGGCUCGGGGAGACAGGAGGAAGGAGUUCCCCGAAUGCUGUGCCCGCCUUGUCUGUAAACACUACGUGGACGGCAAGCUUGUGCCGCUGCCGGCGCACAAAUAUCCUCUGCUCUGAUGAGUGUUCGGAUGAGACUAGGAUUGCAGUUGUGGUUGCCAAAGAAGCUAUAAAGAAGCAAAGAACCUUCAGUUGUAUGCUUUAUUAAAAUGUGAUAUCAAGUGUUAAUUUAUCAAAAGAUGUACGGUCGCGCGUAUUAAUAGCGCUGCAUGUAGCGACCGAGUUGCCCAACGCUUUA